rnacentral:rRNA from 1 species
GAAGGUGGCAAGCGUUGUUCGGAUUUACUGGGCGUAAAGGGAGCGUAGGUGGUUAGGUAAGCCCUCCGGGAAAUCUUCAGGCUUAACCUGAAAAGGUCGGGGGGGACUGCCUAGCUAGAGGGCGGGAGAGGAGCGCGGAAUUCCCGGUGUAGCGGUGAAAUGCGUAGAGAUCGGGAGGAAGGCCGGUGGCGAAGGCGGCGCUCUGGAACGUUUCUGACACUGAGGCUCGAAAGCGUGGGGAGCAAACAGGAUUAGAUACCCUGGUAGUCCACGCCCUAAACGAUGGACACUAAGUGCCGGCGGGUUACCGUCGGUGCCGCAGCUAACGCAUUAAGUGUCCCGCCUGGGGAGUACGGCCGCAANGUGG